UGCCAGACUCCUACGGGAGGCAGCAGUGGGGAAUAUUGCACAAUGGGGGAAACCCUGAUGCAGCGACGCCGCGUGAGCGAUGAAGUAUUUCGGUAUGUAAAGCUCUAUCAGCAGGGAAGAAGAUGACGGUACCUGGCUAAGAAGCCCCGGCUAACUACGUGCCAGCAGCCGCGGUAAUACGUAGGGGGCAAGCGUUAUCCGGAUUUACUGGGUGUAAAGGGAGCGUAGACGGCGAUGCAAGCCAGAUGUGAAAGCCCGGGGCCCAACCCCGGGACUGCAUUUGGAACUGUGUGGCUGGAGUGUCGGAGAGGCAGGCGGAAUUCCUAGUGUAGCGGUGAAAUGCGUAGAUAUUAGGAGGAACACCAGUGGCGAAGGCGGCCUGCUGGACGAUGACUGACGUUGAGGCUCGAAAGCGUGGGGAGCAAACAGGAUUAGAUACCCGAGUA
rnacentral:rRNA from 1 species